AAUGGAAUGGCCGAAUUUAAGCGAUAAAUUGUAAAUUUAUUUAUGAUUAUUUAAUCUUCCAUUA
rnacentral:tRNA from 1 species